GGUAACGCUCCUUGGUUUGUGAUGGCACAGGUGUUCGAUACAGAUGCAUGGCUCAGAUUGAUGAGAAUGUGACAGAUCAUCACUGUGACCUCUAUAGGCUGCUCAACACUUCGGUCAGAGUUUGGCAGGAUGGAAAUCAGCUCCGAUCAUACCUCUCCAGAACAAGCUGUGAGGUUCUGCAGCGCUCCGAUGGAUGCCACCUUUGUGUGCUGGUUUGUGCUGACAGCGAUGAGAGAGAGAUACAUGCGGACGGUGAUGGCGCUCCAGAGCCACUCUACACCCUGAGGACUGCCGUUCUCCUCAAGUAACGGAUAGUCUUCAUCCGCUUCCUGAGCCUGAGGGCCCAAAGUGUGCCAAGAAAAUAGCAGCAAAUAGCACCACCAGCAGCCUGAACCAAUGAGACGAGGCAGGAUGGACCCAUGCUUUCAUGUUCUUUAUGCCAACUUCUGACCCUACCAUCUGAAUGUUGCAGCAGAAAUCAAGACUCAUCAGACCAGGCAAUAUUUUUCCAAUCUUCUAUUCCAAUUUUGGUUAGCCUGUGUGAAUUGUAGCCUCUGUUUCCUAUUCUUAGCUGACAGGAGCGGCACCCGGUGUGGUCUUCUGCUGCCGUAGCUGCUACAGGGUUCGACGUGUUGUGUGUUCAGAGAUAAUAUUCUGCAUACCUUGGUUGUAUUGAGUGUUUAUUUGAGUUACUGUUGCCUUUCUAUCAUCUCUAACCAGCCCAUUCUCCUCUGACCUCUGACAUCAACAAGGCAUUUUUUAUCCACACAACUGCCACUCAUGUUCUCUUUUUUUCGGACCAUUCUCUGUAAAUCCUAGAGAUGGUUGUGCGUGAAAAUCCCAGAAGAUCAGCAGUUUUUGAAAUACUCAGACCAGCUCACCUGGCACCAACUACCAUUCCAUGUUCAAGUCACUUAUAUCCCCUUUCUUUCCCAUUCUGAUGCUCGGUUCUGAAAUCCUAAAUGCACUGAGUUGCUGCCAUGUGAUUUGCUGAUUAGCCAUUUGUGUUACCAAGCAAUUGAAGAGGUGUACCUAAUAAAGUGGCCGACCUGUGAACCUCUGCAUACCAGCUCACAGCGUCUUUCAUAAGGACAGGCGAAGUUGCUGAGCACUGAAUCACUGUUGUUAUCUUUUCUAUCCUCCUCAAACUCCCUGACUGCUCCUCCAUGCUGAUCUGCGAGCCAGGCUGUGAGGGUCGUCUUCCUGCAACAAACUCCAGGCUCGGCUUCCGUAUGCGGCUCUGCCAGGACACGUCCUCGGAUUGUUCUUGAGCACCAAACCCCCCCUCUCUCGGCUUGCAGAGGGUCCUCUGAAGGGUGUGCUUCUCUAACUCCAUCCUGUUUCUCUCUGCAGGAGCAUUGUGUGGGGUGUUUGGUAAAAAAACAUCAUCUGUAUCAUCCAUUCCAUUGUUCUCAAACACAGGCUUUCUGGAGGGCUGUGUGACAGCCAACAGGCCUGCGAACCUCGGGUUUCGCAGAGUCUCGGAGUGGGCGUAACGUAAAGUUAGUUUGUUCAUAUGAAAACGGUUGACUGUAGGGGCCGAGGGGAGAGUGAAAGAAUUGGACCCCCAGCAUAAAGCCGGGCUUUUAGAGGUGUAACGACAGCUUCCAUAGCCUCUGUGAAAUCGAGAUGGAUCGGUACUUGACCACUGAGAUCGAUCAACCAUCCGUGACAACCUUGUGGAUUCAUGAUUGAUGGAGAUCGUCCGCUGCAAAGUAUAGUUCAUGUUAUUAUCUCAAAUGAAUUAUGUUAGUGAUAUUAAAUGACCAUAACCAUGGAAAUAAACGAAUGCUUUCUUCCAUUUCUGACGCAAACCUAUCAAAUCGCUUCAGAAGAUGCAAAAAUCGUACAAACUACUUUUAUUAUUACUUUUAAGGUGUUUUUUGUCCGUUUUUGGAACUGGAAAGCUUUACCAUUCACUUUCAUUGUAUGGCAACAGAAUUUUUGAUUUUGGGUGUACUAUCCCCUUUAAAAACAACUUUUAUCCUAAUGGAAAAUUGUCCUUACCUUCAGGUGCAGACUUCCUAACGAUGAACUAUUUGAAAUAUGACAGCUGGACAGACUGUCUGAGAGAGAUGACUCUGCAACGCCCAAAAUAACACACAAUUGGACCACAUACAAUACAACACAAUGGAAAACAUAUUCUUCAUGAUCACUUACAAAUCCUACUAAAUACAUCUGAAUGAGUGAGUUCUGAUAAAAUAAGGUAGGGUUCACCUUUCUCAACUAGCAAAAAAAGUACCAAAAGUGUUUAUUUGCAGUAUUGUUAUUACAUUUGUUAAAUGUAUUAAAUAGUUAUUACAUUAUAAUAAUUUAUUUAAUUAUAUCUAUAUAUAUUUUGUCAUAGCUGUAUAUGGACUUCAGCUAUUAUUUUUAAAUAUGUAAAUAUUCAGUACAAGAAUAUAAGUCAUAGCUAUAAUCAGGUAUAAUCAAUCAGUGGUAUACAUCAAAGUCACUUUGAUAGCACACUGAUACCAUGAUAGAUCCAAAGUAAUUGUUGUAAUAGUUUUUUUUAAUGAAUGUUUAAAAUGUUGUAUGUAAGAAUGUUUUUGAAUAUUUUAAUAAAAUAUAAAAUAACCAAAGGAUAGGGUUAAGAGAACAAAGGACCAUUGCAAGCUGACCAUAAA